GAAACUCCCAUCAGAUCAUCUUCAGCACCAACAUGUUCUCUGUAGCUCUGCUGCUGCUGCUGGCUGCUGGAUCCUGUGUGAAGUGUGAACAGCUGACACAGCCAGCCUCUGUGACUGUGCAGCCAGGUCAACGUCUGACCAUCAGCUGUCAGGUUUCUUAUUCUCUGAGCAGCUACUGGACAGCUUGGAUCAGACAGCCUGCAGGGAAAGGACUGGAGUGGAUUGGGGGGAAAUAUACUGGAGAGUCAGCGUACAAAGAUUCACUGAAGAACAAGUUCAGUAUCGACUUAGACACUUCCAGUAAAACAGCGACUCUGAAUGGGCAGAAUCUGCAGCCUGAAGACUCGGCUGUGUAUUACUGUGUCAGAUACCACAGUGACACAAACCAGCAGCAGAGCUUUGUGGAUGAUGAAACCAGGGUCUCUACCGGGCUGGAGCAGAUGAAUGGUGAUGUCAGGAGCUGGCAGACGAGAGGAAGCUGGAGGACCGAAGGUGAGCUUCGGGACGGAACCAGAGCAGAGUUUGGAGCGGGGUCCAAGCUGGCAGGACGAGAGUCUGAUGAUGGGAGAAUGAAGAACGACAAUGAACCAGCGAUGAAGGGCUGGCUGAAGAGUCCUUAA